GGCAUGGGGGUUGGACUCCAGUUCCAGAGCAUGGCUAUGGUGGUUAUCGUUGAGGUUCUGAUCACUCUUCAUUGCUGCCAUCUGAAAGGCCAUGACACAAGCAAGAACAAGUUGCUCAUCAGCCCGAUUACAAUAAAUGAGAUUUGAAUUAAGGACAAGCUACAUGGUACUUGAUGGGAGAUAAAGGAUCUACAAGUGCAGUCUUAUUUAUCAUGUAACUCCAAAAGCUUAAAUCCAAUUGUUGUAUUGAUAAGAUGUGUGACUUGAUUUCUGGCAUAAUAAUUGUUUAGAUCUGACUGUUUGAUUGUGCCA